rnacentral:tRNA from 1 species
GGUUCUAUGGUGUGAUGGUUAGCACGCUGGACUCUGAAUCCAGCAAUCUGAGUUCAAAUAUCAGUAGGACAU